rnacentral:sRNA from 1 species
AUUCCCUUUUCCCAACGAAUCACAGAUAAUACGCCCCCGGUUUGCACACCGGGAAUCCAGGAGAGUUCAUGUAC